rnacentral:rRNA from 1 species
UACGUAGGGGGCAAGCGUUGUCCGGAUUUAUUGGGCGUAAAGAGCGUGUAGGCGGCCAGAUAGGUCCGUUGUGAAAACUCGAGGCUCAACCUCGAGACGCCGAUGGAAACCCCCUGGCUAGAGUCCGGAAGAGGAGAGUGGAAUUCCUGGUGUAGCGGUGAAAUGCGCAGAUAUCAGGAAGAACACCCGUGGCUAAGGCGGCUCUCUAGUACGGUACUGACGCUGAGACGCGAAAGCGUGGGGAGCGAACAGG